AGCUCCAAUAGCGUAUACUAAUGUUGUUGCAGUUAAAAAGCUCGUAGUCGGAUUUCAGUGGACUCAGUUAAGUCUCCAUUGUGAGAUCUUUAUGGGUCCACUUCUUUGACAGAAACUUCUAUGUUAUUCAUUUAGCGUGGGUAGCGACUGUCUCUUUUACUUUGAGAAAAUUAGAGUGUUCAAAGCAGGUAUUCGCCUGAAUAUUACUCUUGGAAUAAUGCUAUAUGACUUUGGUUCUAAUGUAUUGGUGAUUGGGACCAGAGUAAUGAUUGAUAGGGACGGUUGGGGUCUUACGUACUGCAAAGCGAGAGGUGAAAUUCUUGGACCUUUGUAUGACGAACAACUGCGAAAGCAUUGGACUAGGACGUUCCCA
rnacentral:rRNA from 1 species